AAGACUCAACGUAGUUCCGUCAUGUUUACGAAUAACCUUUAACAGAAAACAUUAAAUCGUAAUUUAGGAAAUGCGAACUUGUGAUAGUGAACUGUUAAUUACAAUAACUGUUCUAAUUAAAUAAUUAAUACUAAAAAUCCCCAGUCUAACGGUAAUAUAAUCAUAAUUUCUAAUAUUAAAAACGGUAAAAUCAAUACCCAAUAGAAAAAGUUGUAGACAAAUAUGAUAAAUACCAG
rnacentral:lncRNA from 1 species